UCUUCCCACUCAGCCUUCCAAGUAGCUGGGACUACAGGUCCACUUCGCUGAAGUAAAAAAUGCCCCUCUGAGGCUGCCCCCAGUGAUUCCAGUUUCCUAAUGGAGCCUAACCAGAACCUAUCUGUGUGAUCUUGGCCAAAUUAGACUGGGUGAAACAUUGAACACACAUUUGCUGCUUCUGAAUGGUGCUUCAUCUCAGUGGCUGAGCCACGUGGAUGGCAUUCGGAAAUAACAGUUGUGCUUCCACAUAGCGGUGAGCCAAUCCCCAGUGAUUCUAAAGGCUGAAUGUUCUGGUUCUGCAACCAAAUAAAUACAAUUAUAGAUACUUAGCCAAACCUGACUAGGUUUCAUUCUUUCAUUAAUUAACACAUGUAUUUAGAUUUUUAUAGGCACUUAUUUGGGCACUGCAGAGCUGCUGUAGAUCAUCUAAAGUUUAAUUCAGUACGGCUUUCCUUGCUAAGGAUCUUGUUAUGAUUAUUCUUAUAUCUUUCCUUCUGCCCAUCUCUGAAAAUUUCUCACUUCCCCUCUGGAACACCAUACUAUGAUUAGAUUCGCUUCCAGAGACUGGCCAUGGCUUAGAAAAAUGAUUCUGUUACUUGCCAGGAUCCCUGUACAGAUGCUGCCGAGUCAAAUUUAGUGCCAAAGGGAAUGUGUGCUUUAUUUGAUCAGCCUUGAUUUCUGAGCUAGGCCCUGAAAAAAGAAAACAUGGAUUUUGCCAGUAUCUAUGGAGCCAGAAAAAAGUAUUCUGAUUACAAUCUGUCCUGAUUACAGCUGUGAUGGUACCAAAUGUGGCACUCAGAAUAUCUGCUAUGCUCUCAUGGCAACCAAUUAAUUUCUGUAUGCAACAAAUGCUAGGGCCUGUUAAGUAGAUGAACUGUACAGCUUGUAAAAUACCCAGUUCUUAAGUUGGAAGUGACUUUGUCUUUGACAACUUUGCCUUUCCAGAGAAAAUCGUCUCCUACCACCCACUCAGAAUGUCAGGUUCCUCCUGGUCCCCAUGAUGAUCCAUAAAUAUCUACCCUGAGCUCAUGACAGUGAUUGGAUUCAACAUUGUAAUUGCAUAUGCCUGACUUUCCACUCUGUCAAUAGCCUCUUCUGUGGAGUAUCUCCUAGUGAUCAUGUCAUAUCCUGUUAGGUAAAUUGUGAACCUAUAGGAAGGACUGUAUCUCCUAGUUUUAUGAGCAAAGAUCACUUUUAAUUCUCUGUCAUUUUCAGAACAUAACACAUUGAUAUUGCUUUAAAAGGAUGAAACAUUGUAGGGCAUUUAUAAACUUUAAAAGUACUUUUAUAUCUGUUAUUUUAUGCAAUCCCUACAAUUAUCCUCUGAAGGAUGGCAAAUCCCAAUUUGACAAAGAAAACUGAGGCAUAAAGGCUAAGUGACUUCUCUGAAGUCACACAGUGACAGAACCAGAUUUAGGAUUCAGUUCCCUUGACUCCUAGACUCAGACUUUUUUUUUUUUUUUUGUUAAAUAUUGUCUAGUCAUAUUACUACUCUUUGAAAGUUAUUCCCACCAGAAGUGUCAUUUUAAUUAGAUAUUUCAUACCUUUAAACUCUGUAGUGUGGCUAGCUUUUACAAAAUCAUGCUGAGUACAGUCAGUGAACACUGCUUGGGUUGCCCAAAGCAGAAAAAAGAUAUAAAGAUGAAACCAUCAGACAGAUUGUAUAUAUGAUAUUUGAGAGAGGGUAGUGUAACCUCAGAUUCUCCUUGUCACCAAGUUGUGUUGAAACUCAGUCUUUAUUGCAGGAACCACUGGGUGCCUUUCUCAUGGCCACGACAGCAUGGUUUACAACAGUCUUCAAACAGCCAGGCUGUGCCCCAGAACUUCACUGGGCUUCCUUCCAUAACUAUGGAUCUGUGAGCAUCACUUUAAUUUCAGAGUGUGGAAGAAACCUUAAUAAGGAUCAUGAAUCACAUUUUACAAAUGAGGAUACACAGGGUGUAAGCUUAAGUGACCUGUUCUAUCAGGGCCACAGAGCCAGUUAAACUUCUUUAUUUCUUAACUGAGUCACUCAAAAAACAUUUAUUUAAAAACCUAUUUUGUUCUAGGAACUAUACUGGGUACUGUAAAUACAACAGUGGAGACGGGGGAAAAAAAAGAAAACAA